rnacentral:rRNA from 1 species
GACGAACGCUGGCGGCGUGCUUAACACAUGCAAGUCGAACGGAAAGGCCCUUCGGGGUACACGAGUGGCGAACGGGCGAGUAACACGUGGGUGAUCUGCCCUGCACUUCGGGAUAAGCCCGGGAAACUGGGUCUAAUACCGGAUAGGACCACUGCCUGCAUGGGUGGUGGUGGAAAGCUUUUGCGGUGUGGGAUGGGCCCGCGGCCUAUCAGCUUGUUGGUGGGGUGAUGGCCUACCAAGGCGACGACGGGUAGCCGGCCUGAGAGGGGGACCGGCGACACUGGGACUGAGAUACGGCCCAGACUCCUACGGGAGGCAGCAGUGGGGAAUAUUGCACAAUGGGCGCAAGCCUGAUGCAGCGACGCCGCGUGAGGGAUGACGGCCUUCGGGUUGUAAGCCUCUUUCAGCACCGACGAAGCGCAAGUGACGGUAGGUGCAGAAGAAGGACCGGCCAACUACGUGCCAGCCGCCGCAGUAA